AGAGCCACAGUGAGGGGGGAGCCGGAGCGAGCGCACGGUGAUUCACCUCAGCUCUCCUGACAACGUGUCAGCGCCGAUAGCAGGUAGUAGUGGGGUGUCUUCCCAGCAGGUGGAGUCAGGAGGCAAACAAACUUGCUCAGGAGGUACCACCACCCGGCUGAGGACAGCUUUUUUCUUUCGUUUUUCUGUGUGAAGGAUGUUGCUGCCAUCAAAUAAAGUGAACUGUGGGUUUUAAGUUGCUUGGCUUACUUCUGAAUGGAAAGUUAUCUCCUACUGAAGCGGUUCUCAGGUGUUUUUCUUCAACCUGCCACUUUCUCUAACAGAUUACAGCCAAAAUUUUUUUUGAGCUUGCCUUUCUUACAGAAAUCUGCAUGCAAAAGCAGCUGGCUGCCUUUUUGCAGCUCAAGCCAUUCUGAGAAGGGUGUGAGGGACAGGGAAAUAGGAGCUUAGUGCUCAGAAGUCAGAAGGAGGUGCUGGGCUUAGCAUGCACCAAAGUCCAAGAAAAAGGAACUUUUUGCCACUUUUCCCAGCAGUUGAUAAAAAAAUUCCUCCAGACAAUACCAUCGAAGAAAAUUUGUCCUCCUUGAUAUUGGGGGGGUGCAACCAUAAUAAGAGUUGAGACACUCAAAGAAUACUGAUCAUUCUCUGGUAGGAGCAGUGGCAUCAGGGGAGGUUCUCAUGAGCUGCACCAGCUCUGGCACCACGGAGCAGCACCUCCGUGGACUCGCUGUCCCUCUCACGCCACAGCUGCCCCGAGGUGGGCUUGGUUUGUUGUGCUCUUGUGUUUUCCUCUCUGUCACUUCCUG